CCUCGUUCGACUUCUGCAACGAUUACCUUAUCAAAUCCAUACGAGCUAAUCUGAUCUUGUAUGUUGAUGUAUUUUUUCGGCUAUAGCAGCAUUUUCGCCCGCCCUAUAUAACUUAUACAUCCAAUCAGCGGAUAUCUGCUCGUCAAUUAUCGUCGCACAGACAACCGGCAUCUUCGAUGAUAUUGAUAGCUUUACAAGAACUAAAAUACAAUGGAAAAAACGAGUCCGUUCCACUUUGCAAAGCCAAAGAUGAAUUGUAUUUGCGCAGCGUAGA